GACGUAGGGCGCGAGCGUUGUCCGGAUUUAUUGGGCGUAAAGAGCUCGUAGGCGGCUUGUCGCGUCGACUGUGAAAUCCCGCGGCUCAACUGCGGGUCUGCAGUCGAUACGGGCAGGCUAGAGUUCGGUAGGGGAGACUGGAAUUCCUGGUGUAGCGGUGAAAUGCGCAGAUAUCAGGAGGAACACCGGUGGCGAAGGCGGGUCUCUGGGCCGAUACUGACGCUGAUGCACGAAAGCUAGGGGAGCAAACAGG
rnacentral:rRNA from 1 species